UCAAACCCGAAACCUCACGGUUCCCAGUCGGAUUCGUUUCCGCUGCGCCACGACGGCAACUCCUCCUUCUCCCUUCUUUUGAUGUCUUCUCUGUACCAGAGCCAGGUCUCCAAAGACUUGCUCACUCAGGCCUGGCUUCUAAUGGUCCAGUGAUUUUGUAGGGGCAGAAAUUUUCUCCUGCUGUAAAAGCAUUAAGGAGCAUCCUGGGACGGGGCCAUUUGUAGGGAUACCCAGGUCUCCACUGGGAUAAAGGGCUUCUGAGGGUGCUUGUAGUGUCCCUGGACCAAGCCAGCACUCCCAGGCUCCAGCUCAUCUGCCUGGACAGCCUCCAGGCAAUUUGUCAUUCCCACUGAGUCCUGCCUUCCUGUCUCUGUGCCUUUGCCUGUGCCAUCCCCACCUCCUGGGAGGCCCUCACCUUCCCCUGCUCACCCGUCCAAAUUCUGCUCUUCUCUCCAGUUCAGAUGCCUCCUCAUCCAGGUAGUCUUCCCUGAUUGGGUCCAAAUGACAUACUUCUCCCUCAAGCCCGGGGCCAUGGUCUGUUUUCUGGGUCUGAUACAGAUUGAAUUACCGCAUCUUUGUCUUCCCCCAGGCCCCUAACACCAAGGCUGUGACCUCUCUAAGGUCUAGGCCUGGCCUGGAGGCUACUUACAAGCCUCGAACAAGUCACUUCCCCUCUCUAAGCUGCUUCACCCUCAUCUGUAAAACAGAACAGGCAGAACGUCUGCUGCAGGGGGAGCAGGGGGGGUCACUGAGGAGUGAGUGAAAUGUUGUGGGCAAUGCUAGGAAUGCUGCCCGGCUCUGGUGGCUGCUUAGUGAGCAGGACCCAGGUUAUUAUAGCUGUUCCUGUAGAGGCCACGCGUCCCUCUCUCUUGGGGACUUGACAGCCUUCACAAUCCUGUCCUGCCCCAGGUCCUCCCUCUUACACAGUAGCCAGAGAUGCCUUUCUAAAGGAUGCCCCAGCAUGUGUCACUCCCUGGACCAUCCCCAUGAGCCCGUGCCUGACCCUCCCCUGUGUUUAUAGGGUUCCAGUCUCUGCACCACUUCUGCCUCCACUGCUGCCCCAACUACCUGGAACUUAUUGGGGGGGGCACUGAACACCCCCAAGUACCCUCUCAAUUCGAGGUUUCUGCACAGGGCAUUCCUUCCACCUGGCACACCCUCCCCAUCGUUCCCUCCUUCUUCACCUGGUCAACUCCUACUCAUCCAUAAAGCCCCAGCCUAAGUGCCCACUCUUCCAGGAAGGCUUCCCUGACCACCUCCCCCAUCCACAGGAGGCAGCCCUUCUCUAUGCCCUGGCAGCCCUUACCACACACACUGCAUUGCACUGACCCGUUUAGCCGUGAGCUCCAGCGACGCUGUGACUUGCUCCCCGCUGCACCCAGCACCUGGCAUGGUGUCUGGCGCGGAGUAGAUGCUCAAAGAAAAAAAUUUUGUGUCUGACUGAAUGGAUGGAUGAGUCAAUUUCUGCAUCCCCCACACUGCAGGAAAUGUCUGUAGAACAGAUUUGAGUGGGAGGUUCCAGCAGGGCCUGGGAGAAGCCCCUGGGGUUUAGGCGCUUGGUGGUGAGCAGAGUGGACCCCCAGCCCCUCCCACGGGUGGGUCAGCCUCCCCCCUCCCCCCAGUUCCCACAGACCCCCAGGGCCCCAGAGCCAGCUUCCAGAUGCUCGGCUCAGGCUCAGCUUUACCUCCUAGCUUUUCCAUCUGCACAGCCGGGCCAGAUCCCCGCAGCCAGCGUCGCGGGCAGCCAGGCCAGUCGUCCCCGGCGUCUUCCUAUUUUAGACAUCUAGCUGCCUCGGUCCCUUCUAAUGUUUCCAGCCAGGCUGCGGGGGGAGGAAAAAGAGGUUACUGCUACUUUAAAUGUACUGUAUGAAGGCGAGGGCUGGAAAGGGGCCUGCUUGCAGGAAUACCCAGUCAUCUAGUUGGAAAAGCCGCCAGAUGGAAUACAAAAGGAGAAACCCAGCCGCUCAUGGAGACAGCCUCGGUUCAUAAAUCAGGUGGGGCCAGGGGCUGGGGGCCCAUACGCCAUGGAGCCCGACUCCCUCCUGGACCAAGACGACUCCUUCGGACCUGUUGCUGGUUGCGCCACUCGAGGUCAUCUGUGCAUGUGUUUAACCUCCGCACCCCGCACUGUUCUCUAAGCUCCCUGGCAGCUGUUAUCCCCAGGGCGUAGCUCUCUGCCUGGCCUGUAGUAAGUGUCCAAGAAAUCCUUGCGAAUCGUGAAGUGAACAAUUCGGUUGGUCCAGCCAAGGAUGUGAGGAAAGGCCCUUCCAGGAGGGGAGAAAAAGCGCGUGCAAAAGCACAGCAGCAGGAAAAACUGCGGAGGGUUUUCUGACGCUGCCAGGGAGGGUGAUGCUUCUGGUCAGGGGUUGGUGAGCUGAGCUCCUUAGGGGGCUCCAAAGCCUCAGUGGGGACAGGGCUGGGAGAAGCACAGCUGUGGGGGGGGGGCUCUGGGCCCCUUCCCCACUUUAAGCAGAGCAAGACUCCCUUCCACCGGUUGCAUAGCCUGAGCUGAUUCCAUUUACCAGAUGCUCAGGGGCUGGAAGGAGUUUGGCCAGGUCCCCAGCCGCUGACACUUAUGUUCUGGAGGCCUCAGCCACAUUCAGGGCAUCUUAGCAGACAGGGCUGAGCAGUGCCCCUUAGUGGCGGGGGGAGGGGGUUCCUACAAGCCAGGCCGGUGAGGGCUCAGACCACAGCUGGGGGAGGGGCAAACACAGGGACAGCCAUCAGGGGCAGAAAGGCAAGGAGGAGGGAGUUUGGAGACUGUGCCCUAACCCUAGCAGAGUUCUUCCUGAAGGGGCCUCAGUUUUCCUCUGUAUAGAUUGGGGUGAAGGCCAGACAAGAUCUGACUGUGCCCUUCAGAGCUGCUUGGAAAGUCCAGCCCGGAGAAGCACCUCCUUCCUGUGUGCCUGCGAUUGUGAGGAAGGGGACAAGAGGAUCCCCCGUCCCUGACCUGACUCCCACUCAAGACUGUGAGAUCCUAGAAGGCAGGGGCUCUGUCUUAUUUGCUGCCACAUCUCCAGGUCCUGCCAGCCUCUGGCCCUGAGAAGAGACUCAAUACACAUUCACUGGAUGAAUGAAUGAGUGAAUGAGUGCAUGGCGAGUGGCACCAGCCAGAUCCUGCCCUUAACUUGCCCUGAGCCCUCGGGCAACCUUCUCCCCUCUGGGCUUCUAUUUCCUUAGCUGUCCGCUGAGGCCCCUGCACUCCACACUCCCGAAUGUUCCAGCUCUGGCCAUCUAAGAUUCUAAAUCCGACUCAGCACUUGGCACCCUUUUCCCUCUCUGCGGCCUGAGCCUCAUCCGGGCUCCCUCUGCCAUCCAGCGGCCUGGACCACAUCCCCACUCCUCACUCAGACUCAGCUUCUUUGUCCAAUAAAUGGGCAGACUCAGCCCUGCCUUGCCUGCAGGGGUCGGCUGGGGUCUCGGAGGAACGAUGCGAUGAAACCAUGGGAGGCUGGACACCUGUUGGGGGGAGUUCAUGAUUCGUAGACGAGGGAGCUGGGCCAGGAUAAAAGCUCUGGAAGGGGCUGGUUGCUUUGGAAAUUCUGGGAGCGGCACAGGCAGCUCAGAACCUUCAGUUUCUUGAUAAGCAGCAAGGGACAUUGGCUCCAGCUGGGGGCCCUGUAGGGAGGCAGAUGGAGGUGAUUUUGUAAACUUCCAGGUGCUGCAGGUAUAACAACUAGUGGUAUUUAUUGAGUCCCUUCUGCAGGCCAGGCCCUGGGCAAGGUCCUUCAUGUUCAUUGCCUACUUGAAUCUUCACAACAAACCUGGUAGGCUGCUGUCAUGGCUCCAUUUUCCAGAUGAGGAAACUGAGGCUCCAGGAAGGAGCAUUUGUUGGAACCGUUCAGAGGCCGAACUCGAUGGGGCAGGAGGCACCGCUGAGCUUGUCAGCUCACCUGGGGACAGCGAGUGCAGAAGCUGCUGUAACAGGAGGGUCAGUCUAAAGAGAGGGCUAUUUUGGGCUGGAAGUUGUCAGCGGGCCUGAUGUCACCACGCCCUGGCCCUUCCCUCGUGAGAGGGGGAAUUUGAAGAUGUCAUAAGCGGUUUGCCUCCGCUGGUUGCAAGUGGAAAAUAACCAUAAAACAGCAGCUAUGUGGCCAGCCACGUGCUUUACAUGCAUCAUCUGGCUUCCCCUUUCCCCCACCCGGUGAGGCGGCUGUUCUCAUCCUCCUGUUUGAGAUGAGGAAACAAGUUCAGAGAGGCUGAGUGACUUACCCAAAGUCACACAGUGAAUGAAUGGCAGAGCCGAGAAUCCUGUCGGUUUGCCUCACCCCAGAGCCCAUGCUUUGAACCAGUGGCCCCCAGGCCCUUUGCUGUGUGUCCGUGUGGCUGGAUCAGGGAGGAUGGAUGCUGUUCAAGCCUGCUGUACCUCUCAAGAACAAGAGCCUGUGACCUCGUCCUGGCCCUGCCACUUGGCUAACUCAACAGCAAACCUCAGUUUCUCUGCCUGUGAAACCGAGCUAAUGACAGCAGCCUUGCCUACCUGGGAGGGGGAAGGGAGGCUAAAUCCAGAUUCUUUCCAUGUUGCUCUAGGGCCCUGCCUGGACCAGCUGGCUGGGCCUCAGGGGACAGAAGGAACAGGAGAAGCCACACCCUCAACCCGAGGUCCUUUCACAGGUGAGGGAAUUGGGCCAGAGAGGCAGAGCGGGGACCCCACUUACUGAGCUCUUACUACAUGCCCGGCCUUGUGUUAAGUGUUCCCCGUGGAGUCACUGGCUCCUCCCAGAGGCAGGAACAGCCCCACUGCUCAGAUGAGACAAUUGAGACUUAGAAGGGCCCAAGGCUUAGAAGGGCACCUAGUGGGGUGCCCAUGAUUCAAACCCAGGACUCCCAGACUUCUGCCCACCACUCUGGGCUUCCCCUGGGUAUCCUGGCCGCCAGUCCACAAUCCUUCCUGCUGACUGGCCUCGCCGGUCCCUCUGACCUCCCCAGCUGGGCCAGUGGACCAGUGGUGGAGCCCCACUUCUUGCCCCAUGGGACUCUGGGAAGAGGCGAAAUCAGGAAAAAGAGUCAAUAAAGAACAAUGAGGCCGGACAGGGAGGGGCUUAAGUCGCUGAUGCUCCCAAGCCUGAGCAGCUGGCUGCACAAGGCCAGGGGGUGAGGCCUGGGGAUGGGGGCAGGGCAGUCCCUGUGGCUGGAAAUGGGCCAGGCAGAGCUGGAGAGGGCUCCGGGGGAGGAGUGAGUGUCCCCUAAAGAGAGGGGCUUUUGGUGGGAGCAGGAGGGAGCAGCUGACACAGGAGUUCCUGGUGUUUAGGAAGCAAAGACACUUUGCCCCAUCCUUAUGCCCAGGCCUGGGCUUGCAUCCUGCUGCACCUCCCCACUGGGAUCCGGAGCAUGUGACUCUCUGAGCCCCGACUUCCUCAUUAGAGGAGUGGGGACCGCAGUAGUGGCCUCCUAGAUCAUUCCUUCUCAUAUUGGUCUGGAGGGUGGCUGCCCACAGGACCGAGUAGCAAAUCUUUGCUGAAUGGCUUAAUAGUGGGGCCAGGUUCCCGGCAGCUUUCCUACUACCUGAUGUAUUUCCUGGCACAAGUGAAUCCCCAUUUUAUAGAUGAAGAAACUGAGGCCCAAGAAGGUGAGGUCACUAGUCUGAGCCUUAGUCCUAUGAUGAUGGGGCCUAAAUUACACCCAGGCUCCUGGACUGCUGGUGUGCCUCCCCCGCAACCCCCACCUUAUACCAAGAAGGCCAGUGGGCCCUUCUCAUGGGGCCCAGCACCAUCUCACUGGCUGGCCUCCCUGAGCUGAUUGCUGGGUGCUUGAGUCCAGUCCUUUGUUCUCACUGGCCAGCCCAUUCCUUCCUCUGGAAAUUAGAGUUAUGCCCCUCCCAGCUGGGGUUCCCCCCAAGAGACACCUCAGAAGCCUGGGCAGACUGGAGAAAAUAGAAAAUGACCCCAAGAGUGAGGAGGCCCAAGGGAGAGGGGACUUGGGGGUCUUCCUGUCCAUCCCUCAUUAGAGGAGGGGAAGAUAGGCCCUGAGAGAGGAGUAAGCAGAACCAUUCAAGGUCCAUUCUGCGUCCUGAGUGGUCCUGAGCUCUGCCCUGACUCUCCAACCUCCCAGCCUCCCUCUGAGGCCAUGGCCCACCUUGGACGCCUAGGCAGCUGCCUCACUCCCACCUGGAGACCCCGUCUCCACCAGUCCCCCAAACUCAUCCUCCAUGUGCAGCCAAAGGGCCACUCACAGGCAUCUUAAGGUCCCCCAGGGUGCCCCCUUGCAGCAGGAGAGAGUCUGAACUCAUUGCCACAGCAUCAAGGUCAUCCACCAUCUGACCCCUGGCUGACACCUCCGUCCUUGGCUCCAGCACGCCCUUUGGUCCACUCCACUCCAUUGUGAUCCAUUAAUCUCUGCCUUGGAUGUGCCCCCCUCCCUCCCUUCUCUCACCUCUGCACUUGCUAUUCGCCCUGCCUGGACCACUUCCCCAUCUCAGCUCCCCCCGCUGCUCCUCUCCCAACCUGGCCACUCCUGUUCAUCCUGAGGUCUCAGCUUGGGUGUCACCUCCUCCAGGAAGCCUUCCCUGACUACCUCCUUUGAGCUCCCAGGCACCCUGGGUCUCCUGCUAUCCUGCCACAUGCCGGUGGAUCCAGUGCAUUGUCUUCCUUGCUGGUCUUCACCUUGGGGCUGAGAGCUGCUCUAUGCACCAGACUGAACAGGUGGAGGCUGAGGGAGUGGGGUGAGGUGAGGUCAGGGUGACCUGGUUGCUGGUCUGCGUGGCAGGCAGGCCAGUGUCCACACUGAGAGAGGGAUGUGGGUGGAAGAGCAGAUUCUGGGCUGGAAGGGGAUUGAUAUUCUGGACUUGCUGUGUCCGAAGGGCCAACAGGGCCAUCCAGGGGUUUUCUGUUGAAGAGUCUGGGAUGGUCCUUCCAGAUGUGACCUCCAGAGAGGCCCCGAUUGCAGAGUGGAGGAUGGGAGUGUCUGAGGCCUUCCCCGCCAGUAUCACUCCCUUUCCUAGGCUUUUUGAAACCUUCAUGCACCUCCCCCGCCAAGGCCACCUCCCCCAGGAAGCCAGCCCUGAUCAGCCAGGCUGAGGCUGCUCUGUUCUCUCCUUGACUGGACCCUCUCGAUUGCUCCCACCUCUAGUCCUAGGACAUCCCACGCGCUACACCUUGGAGGUCCUCAUGGUGGGGCGACACCCCUCUAUCUCUUGUAGGCUCUACGUUGCCACCAGCCAGGGUCCACACCCACAGAGCAAAUGCCCUGGCCGGGGUCAGGUUCUGCAGUCUCUGCCAGUGGGACUCUGGCAAAAACCAAGCGCAGCCUAGAGAGGCUUCUGGUCAGACUGACACAGGCGGGCAGCGGGGAGAGGCAGGCUCAGGGAGGGGUGUACUUCUGUCCAAUCUGGACGUGGCUGCCUGGAUGGCUGGGUCCUCACAAGCCCAGCCCCAGGCUCUCCAGCCGGUGACCUACAUCCCAGUGUGUCUCUGUGCCUGUGUGCGCACGCACACGAACGCGUGUUGAGGGCACGAGCACCUCCCCUGUAGGAUGGAGGCCUGCGGGGGUGGUUCUGUCUCGGCUGCCUGUGCCUGCAAAAGCCCGUGAGAGAGCUUGUGGGGAUGUGAGGGUCCCACCCUCCUACCUGGGGUACCCCAGCAUUAGCCUCAGAACAAGGGGAGGGGGGUUGUGCCAGAAAAGCCAGCUCUGGGGGCCAUAGAUCCUGAAAUGGCUGGGGUGACUGUCCUCCGGCCCCGACCCCACCUCUGCCCAGGUCUCUCUCUCCCUUGACCCAAGUCUCAGAGAAAUGGCCUUCCCCACCUCUCCUAAUGGUUGAACAUUAAGCAUUGAGAACGAGGGCAGGU